GCUGAGGUCCCAGCCCCAGCAGCCUGCCCCCAAGCCUGGGCUCUCAGGUCCUUCUGCAUGCAAGGUAGUCCUGCCUGACUUGAGGCCUGGAAGCGAGGAGCUGAGGCUGGUCUAAGUUCCUGACCAUCCCUGUUGAUCUUAAAAGAAAGGAUAUAGCACAUUCUCUAAGGUCUCCCUGUGGGCUUGGAACAGCCAUAAAGAAGGCCGACAGGAGAGUCUAGACAACAGCUCACAUCACGGAAGGAAAUGAAAGUUUGGGGAAUCACAGCAGCAAAGGGCAAGGUAAAGGGCCUAGACCAUCGAGAACCAUCCCUGGGGAGGAGAAGGAAAUGAAGGAAUUCAUAUUCCUUGGUGGAAAGACUUGAGGACUUGAUAAGAUCAAAGCCUUAGACAAUGAGCACUGAUAAAAUAAAAAGGGGGGUUCAAAGCAUGCUCAGGGCUGGGCGUGCAAUGUGCAGAUUCUUUUACCUGCCACACGAAGAACGUGCAUUGGGUUUUCCUAUUUUCCAGGCCACUCGUAACAAAUUCUCCUUCAGCCCUUGCUACCUUCAGCCCGUUGAUCUAAUUUUCUCCUAACAACAAAAAGGCUCCUUCACUGUGAGAUAGAAAACAGCACAACCUUCCUGCACACUGGAUGUCUCACAGUGCCGAUCUCUCAGAAGUCCUGGGACGUUACGAUGCCAUGUUGUGCUCUCCUUAACGCAUUGUUGAAUCAAAUGUGCUACAGUUACGAAGUCAUUUGACUUUCUUGAGCUAUACGCUUUAGAAGUGAAGACAACUCAGACGGGCUCCGGCUUUUGGGCAGUUGAAAUCUCACAAGUUAAGCAUAUGCGUGAUUUUGCUCCAUGGUAGAAGUCAUGGAAGUAAAAACUGUGUGUCCACCACGAACCAGGCCCCGGGAUCAUAACUUUCCAUGGAUUUUAUCAUCGACUCUUCACCUCAGCUCAAGGAGGAGGAUGCUAUUAUUGUAUCAGUUUACACUUGGGGCUGUUGGCGAGAGUUGUUUUAACUCUUCCUAUCCCUUGUGUUAUGAGUUGAAUUACUCACUUCCUGCCCCUGCAAAUGCUAUGUUGAAAUCCUAACCCUCAGUACCUCAGAAAGUGACCUCAUCUGGAAAGAGAGCCUUUAUAGAUGUAACACACUAAGAGGAGGCCAUUAGGGUAGGCCUUGACCAAUAUGACUGGUGUCCUGACAGGAAGGGGACAUUCAGACCCAGAUGCACACAGGGAUGACCACGAAGGAAACACACAGGGGAAAGCCACGCUAAGACAGAGGAUUGAACUGUUGCAUCUACAAAGGAAGGAAUGCACAAAAGUAUGGCAGCCACCCACCAGAAACAAGAAAGAGGGUAAUGAGGUUGGCGUCUCCGUGUGGCCCGUGGUUUACUCAGCACGACCAGGGAAGAAAGGCCCCUCUGGGCUUCAACACCUUUCAGAGGGAAAUUAAUGCUGUUCCUCUGGGCUAAGGCUUCACGUGAGUACAGAAGAUGGCAUGGGGGAGGUGAUCAGAAGCCCUUUUGCCAAUCAGUCUUUCCAGACCUCACUCCCAGAGUGGCAAUUAGGUCUGCUACGAGAAGGAAACAAGUUAUCUUAGUAGGUGGGUAACCCUUGAUCCUACCGGAAAAAGAAUUAGCUCAUUGGGGACUACGCAUUUUAAACUAAAAAUUGGCAUUUUUAUAAAGAGUGUAUAAUUUUAAUAUUCUAUUCUGUGCCCUCAACACAAUUUA